CUCACGGAAACAUAGCAGCAGCUUUGGAAUUUCAGACAGUGAGUGAUUUAUAGAGGUGAUCAACAGGAGUUGGUUCCUCAUAAGGGUAUAUUAAGAAUUGAUCCGUGUCAAGCCGUGUGUGGCGUUGAGUAUUUCGGAUUUGACAAGUCUUUGUAAAAGAUUGUUUCAGUGAUUCAAGAGAUAAUUGUUCUUAGAAUUAUUUUGUGCCGUCUGUUCUAGCUGUAUCUCGAACUUACAGUGGUUUCCGUUCGAUGCCAGAAGUUUAGCGGAGAUUUUUUUCGGUAAACAGUUACGGAGAGAUUUGUCACGGCGUCAUCUUUAGUGACAAGAUUCACAAUCACCAGAGAGUCUCUAGCGGAGAGAGAGUUGCUGGUGAAAUAAAAUAAAAAACUUCAAGCUCCAACAAGUCUGUUUUGGUAGGGGAUCAAAACUGUGAGAUUCACAGAUGUUAAAAUCAUAUGUAGCUGGAAACGGAUUCCAUGUUAUUGGUGCUCACACUGAUAGCCCUUGCCUCAAACUCAAGCCCGUUUCAAAGAUAACUAAAGCUGGAUGCUUGGAGAGGUUGGAGUGGGAAUUGAGAAGAAGACACGGUAAAGAAUCUUACAGUCUUUAGAUUGUGAUAGUUGUUUAUACUGAGAAAAAUAUCAAAUUAUUAAAUCUCAACGUCAAAGAAUACAGAUCACUCUCUUACACGUAUCACGUACGUAUUUAUGUACUUUAGAGAAACCAAAUAGUACUGAUAUAGAUACUGAGGCAGGCAACAAGUAGUACAAAUAUAUAUAUUUCACGAAAGACUUUCCUAAUUUUUAUAUUUCUGUACACACGUUUCAUGCGGUUCUGUUGAUAAACAAUACUAAUAAUCUCCUCCCC